rnacentral:lncRNA from 1 species
CCAUGAUGUCCUAGUGGUAUGGAUAAUUAGCUUUCGUGGUGUUAUUAUCAACUUUUCCUCCUUCUCAUUGCUCAGCGUUACCACGGUGCCUUGUUGUUUUUUUUUUGACAUCCUCCUCAUCUAUCUCAACUUCAGAAUUAGCAGCUGCACGCAAACCACAUAUUGGCUUGCUCUUCUUCCUCGUCAGCGUGUUUCCUAAGAUCAUGGUACUCGUAUAAAGAAAGUGUUACCACAGUAGUAGCUUUCUCUCUGUAACUUUUGAGUAGGAUUAACACUUUACUUCAAAGACCACGCUUGCCUACUUUCUCUUCAUUGUUUCUUGCCAUCUUAUUUUUAUUUGUACAGUUCAACCCAGACACCAUUAGCCAACCGUU